GUUGCAAGGUCUUUAGCAUCUUGAAGACAGUUACAGGUAUUAGUACUCCCUGCUGUUAUGAUAAAUUGUUAGUUGAAGGAUGAAGCUUGAUUCUAAUAUGUCUAAGUAUUCAAAUGCAGAACUUUUGCCUUACAAUUCCAAGAAUUCUGGGAGGUCAAUCUUUCUCUUGCUCUUUCUUGCGGUGCCUUUUGAGAUUCUUCACUAAAAAAUCACUGGACAUUUAGUUGCAACAGGUGUGAAAUAGUGAGGGAGGGGUAUCGAGAUGUAGUAGUAUUUUAAUUUUGUUGUAUGAAAAUAUUUGAUGUUUAGACUUCUCUUUUUGCAUUGUUCUGUAGCAUAUGAUAUUUGGAACAUGUUAUCUCUAUUUCUGGAAUAGGCCGGGUCAAGCCUAACAGCAUCAAGGAAGCAUAUGAAAGCUGGUGUUCCUGGGAAAUUGAAAAAUCCAUCUAAAAGGUUUGGGAAAUGGUAUCUGCUGCUAUAUUUUGGGGGCACUGGAAUGAACGGAAUUGUAGAUGUUUUGAUGAGAUUUUAACACCUACACAUGUACUCAAAGCAAAAUGCUUUAGUGAUUGAAUAGUUAUGUUGUGUAUAUGAGCAGGCAUUAUCUCCCUCUCUUGUAAUUUUUGCUUGCAUCUUCUGGAUGCCUUUAAUGAAUUACCCCUUACUUCAUGAAAAAAGUAUUGCAAGGUCAAAGCGAAAAUCCCCAAAAAACAUUCUUCUUUGUUGAUCUGAGUUGCUCAUCCUGAUGCUGUAGUUGUUUUGGAGGAGAUCAGCUGAAGAUCAGCUGAGUGCAAACUACAUCUUCUUGGCGCAUGGACAAAAAACAAAUUGCUUCAUUAUACUUAAUUAUUUGGGCUUAAAGACAUAGUUUCAUGAUGUUUAACCAUUUUCUUAAUUUUGUCCAAAUCUUGCAGACUCUACUGGAGAUAAAGAGAAGGAACUCUUUCAUACCAUGGUCUGCUGUGGCUGUAAAAAGUUAAACUCUAUGCAUGAAGUUGUCAUUUGCAUAAUGAUACACAUAGUAUUUCAGGGCAUGGAGAACUUAUUAACAAUGGUUUGUGAUUUCUACUUCACCUCUAUUUUUAUGUCUAUCUUCAUUUUAACUUCCUAUUUUCUGAAAUUCUGUGCAUGUUAAUGAGCAAUUGUUUGUAAUCAUCAAUUUAUAUGUGAAACUCUAGGAUGUCCUAUGGCUGUGAGUUAAAGAAAUGAAAUUUGGCUCUCAAUGAGUAUAAAGUGAAAUCUUAUUGUUGCCCUUUGGUUAUAUUUUGAUAAUUAGUACUGUUGGUUAUAAUGAGGAUUACUAUAAACUGGCAUGUCAAUGUUCAUUUAUCUUUUUCUCGAUACGCUCACUGCUGCCAUUGACAUUUAUCAAGUUAGGUGUCUAUGUUACAUAUCUAUUGCUUGAACCCCAAAAUUUUACAAAAAAAAAACCCUUAUUUGUUCGACCAUCUUUGUUAGCUGUUAUUUCUAUUUCAACUUGUGGUUUGACUCAAUAACAAGAAAAAGAAGCAUUAUUGGUGCCUUAUUUGUUGGAACAAAUGACUCACAAAUUAACGUGAACAAAGUUAGGAAGAAUAGGAAGUGGACAUAUGCUUAUUUGCAAUGUAUGUUCAACCUAAAAUCUUAUAUAUAUGUUAAGAGACUAAGUUAAUUUUAACAUCUGGAUUACAGUUUCAUUGGUAAUUUUAGGAUAAAGCUUCAUUCUGUAUGAUAAUAUUUUUGUUUUAAAAAGGGCCACUAAAAGCAAAAUCAGAAAAUAUAUGCAGUAGACAUCAAAGAGGUAGUAACAGCUUAAACUAAGUAAUAUUUUUUCUUGAAACUAAAACCAAUAUUGUUCUUGAAAAGUAUAUUCUAAAAUUUUCUAAUUUUAAAGUAAUAACAUCUUUGUUGUCUAUAUGCACUUUCUUUUUAAGGAGGAGGAGAUUUAACAGCCUGUUUAGGUUGCUGCUACCAUAAUUUUUUUUCUUUAUGCUUCGCCGGAGUGUUCAAUGCUGCCAGUAGGGAUGGUGGAAGUGGCGGUGGUUAGUAGGAUUGACAGCUUUAAAGAGGUGAUGAUGAUUUUGUCAAUGCUAUUUCGAUACCUUGUCAAGUUUCACAUGUCUAUUUUAGUGGAUGCUUUUAAGAAUAUAACAGUAGAAGUAUAUACCGGAUUGUUGCACCAGAUAAUCUUAUUUAAAGAAUUUCAAGGCAUUGAAGUACCACCUAGCUACCACUUAUGCUAAGAUCCAGAGGAGAACUAUCUUUGGAUUACACUCUAGCCCUUUUCCCAGACACUUGAUCUCUUAUGUUGUUGAUGAAGCAUUGAAGAUGAAAAUCCUUAGUGAAAUGUCUCUUUUGUUUUGUUUUUUUUCUUCUUUUCAAAUUAGUGCAGAGAUGAGGAUAGUUCAAUGAAAGAUAAGAUGACCAAGUUGAUGAUUAGUUGAAAGAUUCA
rnacentral:lncRNA from 1 species